rnacentral:rRNA from 1 species
UACGGAGGGUGCAAGCGUUAUCCGGAUUCACUGGGUUUAAAGGGUGCGUAGGUGGGUUGGUAAGUCAGUGGUGAAAUCUCCGAGCUUAACUUGGAAACUGCCAUUGAUACUAUUAAUCUUGAAUAUUGUGGAGGUCAGCGGAAUAUGUCAUGUAGCGGUGAAAUGCUUAGAGAUGACAUAGAACACCAAUUGCGAAGGCAGCUCGCUAAACUGUAACUGACGCUGAGGCACGAAAGCGUGGGGAUCAAACAGG